GUGCUUGCUUCAGCAGCACAUACACUAAAAUUGGAAUGAUACAGAGAUUAGUAUGGCCCCUGCACUAGGAUGGCAGAUGAAUUCAUGAAGUGUUCCAUAUUUUU
rnacentral:snRNA from 1 species